UCUCAUGUUGUUUUUGCUCUUUUACUUUCUUUUUUUUCCUCAAUGUGCAUAGAAGGAAGAAUCAUUUGCUAUUGGUUUUUUUACCCAAUUUUUUGAAUGAAGUGAGAAAGAAAUAGUGUGAGAGUUGAUGAGACUUGAUAGACAGGUGUUUUUUGGUCAUAGAUUUGUAUUAGAAUUCUUGUCGUGUUACUGUGUUUGGAAUGAGACAGCAGUGGUAGUCUCACCAGAGAUUUGAAGGAGAAAAGGGCAAGUUUGAGGAAUUUUGGAGAUUUGAUGUUCAAGAAAAGAAUGAAUUAUUGAGAUUUAGAAACUUUGGAAUAUUGGUGACAACAAGUUCUAAGAAGAAAGGAAAGGAACAUAGUGUAAAUUAUUCUAUAAAUAAAUAUAUAAAAAAAUUGCACUUCUGUUAUUUAAAAAAAAAUAAAAAUGUGAUUUUAAGGGUUUCGUAAAAGUCAGGUGAACAAAGUGUUUCAUUCAACAAACAGUGAUGGUGAUUCUUACAAGCGUGAUGAUUUCGAGUCACACCUAAGGCGGAUAACUCAUUUGCUGAGACCUCUGUCCAGGAAGAUCCUAAUUUGUAUCCAGCUGCAUAUGUGCCUGUGCAAAAUCAAGACUCAUCUCCAUAACGCAAAGGUACUANN
rnacentral:lncRNA from 1 species